rnacentral:lncRNA from 1 species
UCAGUUUAAGCAGUUUAACCAGUUCAACCGGCCGAUCUGGUCCAAGUUUCAAAACAUUGGUUUUAGCAAUUAGAAAUAACACAUUUUCUUUAUACAAUUCUCUCUCUAAAAAAAAAAACAAUUAAUUGAAAUUUAAAACCCUAAAAAAGAACAGUUCAACGAAUGAAAGUCAACCAAUAUUUAUGCAAGAUGUGUAUGUUAUAUAUCCCAGCAAAAGUUUUUGGUGGGUCCUGUAAGUUGUUUCUUUAUUACUCUAUUGCCCACUAAUAUUUCAUUUUUAUUUUCUCCCCAAUUGCAGAACAUGCCAUUAUGCAAAAUGAUUAUUGUUGAUCUUGUAAUCAUGGAUAUAUAUCUCUUUCCACC